rnacentral:rRNA from 1 species
CCUACGGGAGGCAGCAGUGAGGAAUAUUGGUCAAUGGCCGGAAGGCUGAACCAGCCAUGCCGCGUGAAGGUCAGUGCCCUAUGGGCGUUAAACUUCUUUUGUGCGGGAGCAAUAAUGGUCACGUGUGGCCAGACGAGAGUACCGUACGAAUAAGCAUCGGCUAACUCCGUGCCCGCAGCCGCGGUAAUACGGGUGAUGCAAGCGUUUUCCGGAAUUAUUGGGUUUAAAGGGUGCGUAGGCUGGGAGGUAAGUCAGCGGUGAAAUGCCCCCGCUCAACGGGGUGAAGUGCCAUUGAUACUGGCUUGCUGGAGUGCGGAUGCCGUAGGAGGAAUGUGUGGUGUAGCGGUGAAAUGCAUAGAUAUCACACAGAACACCGAUUGCGAAGGCAUCUCACGAAGCCGCGAUUGACGCUGAUGCACGAAAGCGUGGGUAUCAAACAGGAUUAGAUACCCCGGUAGUC